CAAAUUUCCGACUUGAUGAAACAAUGGACAAAAAUCGUUCUUUAUUUGUUCUUAAAGUGUUUGCUUUCAAGAUCAAGAUGGGGUCAUAGAAAAAAACAAGUAGAGCAAAGUGUUUUAUGCACCAUGUCAAGUGGAUGAGCUCCAUCAAUACAAAUACACACACACGUUUACCCUAAAGGCUAAUUUGCAUAUUGUAGAUACCUUCACUGUAACCAUAGAGACGUUACAUCAUGAUGGAACAUUUCUCCAUGUUCCAUGUUCUAUGCUCCGUUCACCACAGCAUAAGAACACAGUCUGUUGCACAUCCAGUCAGUCAGUUUCAAACCUCGCAUCUACACACUGAAGUUUUCCGGACCUACACUUGCAGAAAGCAACCAUGUAAUGCCUCAGGAGUCUGUAGAGGGGACGAAGACGCGUUCUGCUGCACUUAACAGAGCUCAAGACCAAUAGGACCCCAUCAGGACGCCACGUCAUCGGGACGCUACGUCAUUGGGACGCCAUCAGGACGCCACGUCAUCGGGACGCCAUCAGGACGCCACGUCAUCGGGACGCCAUCAGGAUUCCAUCAGGACGCCAUCAGAACGCCGCGUCAACCCCUCAGGAGCAAAUCCAGAUCUAAUCAUGACACACACACACACACACACACACACAGAUAUGUACUCAGAGACACACUAACAUUUAGACACGCUGGCAAUUUAGAUGUACAAUUAGAUGUACACACAGACACACUAAUUAUUUGGUUCUAAACAAUGACACACACUAAUAUUUAGAUGUACACAAAGACACAAUAACAAUUAGAUAUACACACAGACACACUAACAUUUAGAUGUACACACAGACACACUAACAUUUGGUUCUAAACAAAGACACACUAAUAUUUAGAUGUGCACAAAGACAUAUUAAUAUUUAGAUGUACACACAGACACACUAACAUUUAGAUGUACACACAGACACACUAACAAUUAGAUGUAAACACAGACACACUAACAACAUUAACAUGUUAAUAACUUUUCUUCUUUUCUCUCUUCUCAGGAACUGCUUCAGAUGUUUUCCCAAUGAUUGUGUUAUUAUUAUUGUUAAA
ensembl:lncRNA